GAUGAAGAACGUAGCGAAAUGCGAUAAGUAAUGUGAAUUGCAGAAUUCAGUGAAUCAUCGAAUCUUUGAACGCACAUUGCGCCCCUUGGUAUUCCGGGGGGCAUGCCUGUUCGAGCGUCAUUUCAACCCUCAAGCUCUGCUUGGUAUUGGGCCUUCGCCGGGUGACCGGCGGGCCUUAAAGUCAGUGGCGGCGCCGUUGGGUCCUGAACGUAGUAACAUACCUCUCGUUACAGGGUCCCCGCGUGCUUCUGCCAUUAAACCCCAAACUUUCUAUGGUUGACCUCGGAUCAGGUAGGGAUACCCGCUGAACUUAAGCAUAUCCAAUAAGCGGAGGA
rnacentral:misc_RNA from 1 species